CAGAUGCUGGUGCUAUGCUUCCUGUACAGCCUGCAGAACCGAACAGUACACUUUGACUACUGGAUAACUGGACUACCUAUGCCAAAGUAAUCUUCAGAACAGGAACAUUAGAACGUUUUUUUCUCAGUAAAGGUUCCAUGCUCCAGAGGACAGAAGGUUCUUCAGACAGAAGUAAGCAAAGGUUGAGCUGACACUGUGGAUCCCUGACAAAGGAGUGAGACUCUCUGCCCUGUGCUUUCCCCAAACUCAGCACAGGGAGAAGGAGAGUGACAGAGCUUGCCAAGAGGUAUGUGGAAUCUGAGCACAGAGGGAAUCCAGGUUUUCUUUCCUGUGUAGGGCCCAGGGAGGUAAGAGCCCAGAGUAGAAAUGGCUGCACAGGGCAUCCAGGUGGACAGACCUGAGGGAGCUUGUGAAGUCCCAUAGAGCUCAGCAUGGCAUGGGAUCAGAGAAUGAUAUUCCUGUGGUCAGGAGGAGCACGGAAGUGGGAAAGGGAAGAGGAUAAUCUUGCUGAGUUUCCUGAGGCCCAGUGUGGUGUGAGAGAACAGAAUGAUCCCAUGUACCUUAAAGGGGCAAGGGAGUUUGUUAACAGAGAGCUGGGCCCCAGUGUACUUUUGAUAGGGAACAUGAACAGAAUCAGCAGUGACCUGCAGAGACUGACUACUGAAGACCAGGUGGAGGACAGCUCAGCAAAUAAACAGAUGCUCACCCACUCCCAGCCUGCUUCAGAGAGGUGGAGGGAUCCCAGAUCAGCAGAUGAAGUCUCUACAGCCUGGAGAAACUGAACUCUUUCUACAGCCUGGAGAAACGGAACUCCAUCGUUAAAGUUAAGAUACCUUGUUAGAAUUCUUAAAAAUUUAAGUAAAGAUGUCUAGCCCUUCUAAAACUUCUCUAUUGUAAAUGA